rnacentral:lncRNA from 1 species
GUCUAACGGUGUGUCCAGCUCCACCCUUACGACAGCGUUUCUACUUACUGAUUUUCCACUCCCUGCAUUCAGUCUUUGGUUCGGAUUCUAAUUUUUAUCAACCUCCGGUGCGCGGUUUCAUCUGGGGAAAGGUUAACGAGUUGCGCGCUAUGAACUGCAUGAUAUAACAGACGUAGGUGACACUGUCUCUUCGCAUUCUUUCUUGCAUCAAUCGAGGCAACCAUUAUCCUCAUCCGUAACGGUCUUGGCAGGCAGGACGCAGAGGUGCGUGCAGGACACGGCCCUCUUUGUCCACCCUCGCAAAGCGCUAAGAGCUGUUGAAUUUCUUUCUAUGUAUUUCUUUUGUGCUUCCAAAAGGUCUGUUAAGAGCCAUUGCAUGUUCCUGGCAGGAGCUCUAGCUGGGCCUGCAUGACCUCUCUUUCUGGCAGCCUUCAAGACGCCUGCUUUGGGAUUGCGACAGCGAUCAUUUGCUGCGAGCCUCUACGCGGAGCUGUUGCUGCAUCUAUCAAGGGCAGCGUGCCGGGCCUGAAAACCCUGA